UAACUUGCCUUGUUCGAAUGA
ensembl:piRNA 21ur-3540 ncRNA